AGGCAUUUCGAACUGGUCAAAUAGUUAGCAACAUAAAUAUUUCUUAUCGACCAAUCAUCCAUAAGUGUAACUCUACCACGAGACGCAUUGAAAGAUUACUGGAUCUAAUUUUAAAACCAUUAUUGAAGAGUCAUCACUUUUACAUUAAAGAUAAGAAAGACUUCAUUUAUAAAAUAGAGUCGCACAAGGUCAAGAAAGAAGACAUUCUUGUUGCCUAUGAUGUAACGUCAAUGUACAUGAAUAUGAAGAUUGAUAACUAAGAAGAAACAUUUAUCAAUGCAUUUUCAUCAGUUGACAAAUAAGAAUAUGCUUUAAAAAUUUCAAACAAACAGAAUAAACGGCAUUUGUAAAGGUAAGAAACAAUGAACUUGAAUUUAAUGGACAGUUAUACAAACAAAUUAUAGGAGCGCCUAUUGGUGGUUUUUUUUCUCCGACAUGCAUAUUUACAUCUGUCUGUCCUAUUAAAAAUAUAUUAAAUUAUAUAUAUAACUUUACAAACGCCGUUUAUUCUGUUUGUUUGACAUUUUUAAAGUAUAUUCUUGUUUGUCAACUGUUGAAAAUGCAUUGAUAACUUGUUACAUCAGAGGCAAUAAGAAUGCACUCUUUCUUGACCUUGUG
rnacentral:lncRNA from 1 species